AACUUUCGAUAAUGGAUCACUUGGCUCUCGCAUCGAUGAAGAACGCAGCAAAAUGCGAUAAGUAAUGUGAAUUGCAGAAUUCAGUGAAUCAUCGAAUCUUUGAACGCACCUUGCGCUCCUUGGUAUUCCGAGGAGCACGCCUGUUCGAGUGUCGCGAAAAUUCUCAAGCUGUGGUUAAAGCAACUUAGCUUGGUAUUGGGCUUUGCCGUGUCACCUUCAUUUGGGACGGCUGGCCUUAAAGGCAUUAGCUUUGAUCCCUGGUGUGGAUUGGUUCUACUCAGCGUGAUAAUAAUCUGAUCGCUGAGGACAUCUUUCGGGGUGGCCAGUUCUGCUUGGGAUUGCUCUCUAAUCUGGAUCGCAAAAUGUUUUGCUCCACUUCCAAUUUUGACCUCGAAUCAGGUGGGAUUACCCGCUGAACUUAAGCAUAUCAAUAAGCGGAGGCU
rnacentral:misc_RNA from 1 species